rnacentral:lncRNA from 1 species
AGACAGCAAAUGGAUUUCGGGUUGCUGCUGUGGCUGGUGAAGAGGGAGAUGAGGAUGAGGAGGGAGACGAUGAUGAAGAGAAUGAUUCUGGUGAAGAAAUCGAUGAAGAGGAUGUUGAUGAUGACGAUGUGGUGGAGGUUCAAGAGAUUGAGGAUAGUGACGAUGAGGAAGAUGGGGUUGAGUAUGAUGAGGAGGAUGAUGACGACGAUGAUGAAGAUGACGAAGAAGAGGAGGUGGACAAUGAUGAAGGGGAUCUUGCAGAGCCGGAGAGUACAGGGAGGUUGACGAGCACGGAAGGAGAGAUUGAUGGACAUGAACAAGGGGAGGAUGAUGCGGAUGAGGAUGAUAAUGGAGAGACCGGG